GACAUGAGUCAGUUUCUCGAAACUCAGAACAAUUCUGUAGUUCCUCAACCAGUCCUUGAAAUUGGGUCCAGUCAAUCUGUGGGUGUCUAGUAUUUUGGUCAGGGGGUUAGACGCAGACAUAUUUCCUGUAGAGAGUCAAAAGUUUUUAGUUAGAUUUUGUAAUCAGACUUAACCAAUUUAUUUAGAGAUUUUAUUUUUAAAUAAAUUAGGCUCCCACUAUUUUCUCUGAUCCCUACACUCCUUAGGUAGAGAUGUGAAAAUCUUCAUGAUUAAUGAUUUUUAGUGGGUGGUGUGGUCUCACUGACUGGCUCACCACAUCACCUAACAGUUAUUGAUGAUGGGUCAACCGAUGAGUGGACAACUCUUGUCCAAUGAUUCUCUAAUCAUGGUGCACCCAAAAUAUGGUCUCUAAUUCAUGAAGCUCAUCGUGUCCGAAAUAUUGCUCCAAUCCUUAGUUAAGUCAGACCCACCAUUUGUACAAAUUAGAUUCCUGAUUGAGUCCCACACCGUAUCCGAAAUAUUGAGCACAACCCAUCCUCUAAUCCGUAGCGUCCAAUGCCUAGUGGACAUGGUUGCGUCUUUCCGGUGCAACUGAACCACUAUAACCAGCCAAGAACAAUCAACCCCGGGAAAGGCCCACACAUCCACAAUGGUGGAAGACCUUAGACUUAAUAUUUUCUUAGAAAGAUUUAAUUUAGGUCUCAUUAAACUUGACUUGAUNNNNNNNNNNNNNNNNNNNNUUUCCUGUAGAGAGUCAAAAGUUUCUAGUUAGAUUUUGUAAUCAGACUUAACCAACUUAUUUAGGGGUUUCAUUUUUAAACAAAUUAGGCUCUCACUAUUUUGUCAGAUCCCUACACUCCCUAGGUAGAGAUGUGAAAAAUCUCCGUGAUUAGUAAUUUCUAGUGGGUGAUGCGGUCUCACCGACUGGCUCACCACAUCACCUAACAGUUAUUGAUGAUGGGUCAACCGAUGAGUGGACAACUCUUGUCCAAUGAUUCUCUAAUCAUGGUGCACCCAAAAUAUGGUCUCUAAUUCAUGAAGCUCACC
rnacentral:lncRNA from 1 species